CCCAUCCGUGUCUAUUGUACCCUGUUGCUUCGGCGGGCCCGCCGCUUGUCGGCCGCCGGGGGGGCGCCUCUGCCCCCCGGGCCCGUGCCCGCCGGAGACCCCAACACGAACACUGUCUGAAAGCGUGCAGUCUGAGUUGAUUGAAUGCAAUCAGUUAAAACUUUCAACAAUGGAUCUCUUGGUUCCGGCAUCGAUGAAGAACGCAGCGAAAUGCGAUAACUAAUGUGAAUUGCAGAAUUCAGUGAAUCAUCGAGUCUUUGAACGCACAUUGCGCCCCCUGGUAUUCCGGGGGGCAUGCCUGUCCGAGCGUCAUUGCUGCCCUCAAGCCCGGCUUGUGUGUUGGGUCGCCGUCCCCCUCUCCGGGGGGACGGGCCCGAAAGGCAGCGGCGGCACCGCGUCCGAUCCUCGAGCGUAUGGGGCUUUGUCACAUGCUCUGUAGGAUUGGCCGGCGCCUGCCGACGUUUUCCAACCAUUCUUUCCAGGUUGACCUCGGAUCAGGUAGGGAUACCCGCUGAACUUAAGCAUAUCAAUAAGCGGAAGGAU
rnacentral:rRNA from 1 species